CACGUAGGGGGCAAGCGUUGUCCGGAUUUAUUGGGCGUAAAGAGCUCGUAGGCGGUUUGUCGCGUCUGCUGUGAAAACUCGGGGCUUAACCCCGGGCCUGCAGUGGGUACGGGCAGACUAGAGUGCGGUAGGGGAGACUGGAAUUCCUGGUGUAGCGGUGAAAUGCGCAGAUAUCAGGAGGAACACCGAUGGCGAAGGCAGGUCUCUGGGCAUUAACUGACGCUGAGGAGCGAAAGCAUGGGGAGCGAACAGG
rnacentral:rRNA from 1 species